GCUAAAGCGUUGACAAUCGAUGUCCACUACCUUGGCGCCCCUCCUAGGCGCCUGGUUGGUGGGGUCUCGAAGCCUGGGUGUCAACCUCAAGGCCCAAGCCUUACAUAAGGUCCUAUCACCGCUCGGGCGCCCUAAGUGGGGCGCUUGAGCGUCGAGUUUCGUGGAUCAGACCCAAUUUUUGCUCGUUUCUGACUCUAUUUAAAGGACCAUGGGGCUCUAGGUUUUGUAUCUUUGGUAGAGAGCAGCAUAGCAACACAGGUUGUCCCAAUUCCUAGG
rnacentral:lncRNA from 1 species